UGUAGUUUUUCCAAGGUGUACCUCAUUAGAAAAGUAGUCUUGAUGCACGUGUGAAUGAGUUCUCCCAAACACAUACUGCCAGAACACAUUAGUAAUGAGCUGUCCAAGCCUCAGAAGACAUUCGAAGCCAGUGAUCAAGCAACUCCUGCCUAAAUGGAUAAUGGAAACACUUCAACCACUUUUUAUUCAACAUUUUUUUUAAUGUGUUUCAUUCGUUCCAGCUGUUUUUAUCAACAAGACAGUUCAUUGGAAACACCUUAGAAGAUUUAUCCUCAUUAAUCUGGUUGGAAGCACCUGGCCCUGCUCAUAAACAAUGUGGAGUUUGAUGAUGACAACAUGCUGAGGAGAGUGGUGGAGAAGGACUAGGUGAACAUGGACACACAGGAACCUGUCUGGCCAGGUACACAAGGGGUCAUGCAUCGCUUUGAACAAGAUCCCAAACCAGAUGUCAACCACUCUAACAAAGGACUUCCCGGGCCUCUGAGAAUCAAAAACAGAUAUCAACCACUCUAACAAAGGACUUCCCAGGCCUCUGAGAAUCCCAAACCAGAUGUCAACCACUCUAACAAAGGACUUCCCGGGCCUCUGAGAAUCCCAAACCAGAUGUCAACCACUCUAACAAAGGACUUCCCGGGCCUCUGAGAAUCCCAAACCAGAUGUCAACCACUCUAACAAAGGACUUCCCAGGCCUCUGAGAAUCCCAAACCAG
rnacentral:lncRNA from 1 species